GGAUGAACGCUAGCGGCAGGCUUAACACAUGCAAGUCGAGGGGUAUAGUAGCAAUACUAGAGACCGGCGCACGGGUGCGUAACGCGUAUGCAAUCUACCUUUUGCAGAGGGAUAGCCCAGAGAAAUUCGGACUAAUAUCCCAUAGAAAUAUUGGAAGGCAUCUUUUGAUAUUUAAAGUUCCGGCGGUACGGGAUGGGCAUGCGUAACAUUAGCUAGUUGGUAAGGUAACGGCUUACCAAGGCUUUGAUGUUUAGGGGUCCUGAGAGGGUGAUCCCCCACACUGGUACUGAGACACGGACCAGACUCCUACGGGAGGCAGCAGUGAGGAAUAUUGGUCAAUGGGCGCAAGCCUGAACCAGCCAUCCCGCGUGCAGGAAGACGGCCCUAUGGGUUGUAAACUGCUUUUCCAGGAGGAGAAACUUGCGUACGCGUUACGCAAUUGACGGUACCCUGGGAAUAAGCAUCGGCUAACUCCGUG
rnacentral:rRNA from 1 species